UGGUGGAUCCAAAACUUCAACACCUGCUCAGGUGCGCUGAAGGUGAACGCAGGACUCCCCCUCUCACCUGUGCUCACCUGUUCAUAGACAAGGUGGAGGAGGAAGCACUUCUGGUAUCCACAGGAAAGACUCCGCCCACUCGCCUGCCCAGACACUGCUGGUCAGAUUCUCCAACACCUGUGAUGACUCAGCCAAGAACUAGUUCCCUGUAAGCCCAGGAACUGCAACAGACAGCUGGGUUUAGCCUUGAUACUUUCUGCUUCCACUUAAUAGAAUGGGUCCAAAGUUGGAACAUUUUCAGCUGCUGUGGUUCUCUUUCACUCUGCAUUAUACCAAAUCAAGCGACCCCUUUGAGCAAUCUGUUCCCACUCUCACCUGCGGUGGCAUUGCAACAAGAACAACUGAAGGAAUUUACAUUGAAA